GAUGAACGCUGGCGGCGUGCCUAAUACAUGCAAGUCGAGCGAACGGACGAGAAGCUUGCUUCUCUGAUGUUAGCGGCGGACGGGUGAGUAACACGUGGAUAACCUACCUAUAAGACUGGGAUAACUUCGGGAAACCGGAGCUAAUACCGGAUAAUAUUUUGAACCGCAUGGUUCAAAAGUGAAAGACGGUCCUGCUGUCACUUAUAGAUGGAUCCGCGCUGCAUUAGCUAGUUGGUAAGGUAACGGCUUACCAAGGCAACGAUGCAUAGCCGACCUGAGAGGGUGAUCGGCCACACUGGAACUGAGACACGGUCCAGACUCCUACGGGAGGCAGCAGUAGGGAAUCUUCCGCAAUGGGCGAAAGCCUGACGGAGCAACGCCGCGUGAGUGAUGAAGGUCUUCGGAUCGUAAAACUCUGUUAUUAGGGAAGAACAUAUGUGUAAGUAACUGUGCACAUCUUGACGGUACCUAAGCAGAAAGCCACGGCUAACUACGU
rnacentral:rRNA from 1 species